CAGGACGAACGCUGGCGGCGUGCCUAACACAUGCAAGUCGAACGGAGUUAUGUCACGAAGUUCUCGGAGCGGACGACAUAGCUUAGUGGCGGACGGGUGAGUAACGCGUGAGCAACCUGCCUUUCAGAGGGGGACAACGGUUGGAAACGACCGCUAAUACCGCAUGAAAUGACUGGAUCGCAUGAUCCGGUCAUCAAAGAUUUUAUCGCUGAAAGAUGGGCUCGCGUCUGAUUAGAUAGUUGGUGGGGUAACGGCCCACCAAGUCGACGAUCAGUAGCCGGACUGAGAGGUUGAACGGCCACAUUGGGACUGAGAUACGGCCCAGACUCCUACGGGAGGCAGCAGUGGGGAAUAUUGGGCAAUGGGGGGCAACCCUGACCCAGCAACGCCGCGUGAAGGAAGAAGGCUUUCGGGUUGUAAACUUCUUUUACCGAGGACGAAGAACGUGACGGUACUCGGAGAAAAAGCCACGGCUAACUACGUGCCAGCCGCUGC
rnacentral:rRNA from 1 species